UAAACGACUCUCGGCAACGGAUAUCUCGGCUCUCGCAUCGAUGAAGAACGUAGCAAAAUGCGAUACCUGGUGUGAAUUGCAGAAUCCCGCGAACCAUCGAGUUUUUGAACGCAAGUUGCGCCCAAGGCCUUUGGGCUGAGGGCACGCCUGCCUGGGCGUCACGC
rnacentral:rRNA from 1 species